rnacentral:tmRNA from 1 species
GGGGGCGUACUGGUUUCGACGGGGGAUGUAUGAGCAUGAGUAGCGAGUCGAGAUUCCACUUGAUCUCGUUAAACAGUGGAAAAGCCAAUUAACUGGCAAAGAUAAUUACGCUUUAGCUGCUUAAUAGCAGCUCAUCCAACUUUCCUAAGUCCGUGGGGAAAGACCUGGGUGUCAAAUGAACGGGCUACCCAAUGACCACCUCCUGAUAGUCAAUUGGGGAAAUAAAUCGGGAUAGCUGACUGCUGAGCCUGUCUAUAGGCGCAGCGAGAGGCGAAACACCAAAUUAUAGUCUACACUCGUAGAAGCUCUUGUGGGUACUCUUUCGGACAGGAGUUCGAUUCUCCUCGCCUCCACCA